CCUACGGGGGGCUGCAGUCGAGGAUCUUCGGCAAUGGGCGCAAGCCUGACCGAGCGACGCCGCGUGUGCGAUGAAGGCCUUCGGGUUGUAAAGCACUGUCGAGGGGGAGGAAAGCCGCAAGGUCUGACCUAUCCCUGGAGGAAGCACGGGCUAAGUUCGUGCCAGCAGCCGCGGUAAGACGAACCGUGCGAACGUUGUUCGGAAUCACUGGGCUUAAAGGGCGCGUAGGCGGGCCACCAAGUCCGGGGUGAAAUCUUUCGGCUCAACCGGAAAAUAGCCUUGGAUACUGGUGAUCUCGAGGGUGGUAGGGGCAUGUGGAACUUCCGGUGGAGCGGUGAAAUGCGUUGAUAUCGGAAGGAACGCCGGUGGCGAAAGCGACGUGCUGGACCACUACUGACGCUGAGGCGCGAAAGCCAGGGGAGCAAACGGGAUUAGAUACC
rnacentral:rRNA from 1 species